UACGGAGGGUGCAAGCGUUAUCCGGAUUCACUGGGUUUAAAGGGUGCGUAGGAGGGCAGGUAAGUCAGUGGUGAAAUCUCCAAGCUUAACUUGGAAAUUGCCGUUGAUACUAUCUGUCUUGAAUACCGUGGAGGUGAGCGGAAUAUGUCAUGUAGCGGUGAAAUGCUUAGAUAUGACAUAGAACACCAAUUGCGAAGGCAGCUCGCUACACGAAUAUUGACUCUGAGGCACGAAAGCGUGGGGAUCAAACAGG
rnacentral:rRNA from 1 species